rnacentral:lncRNA from 1 species
AAGUAUGUAUAAAAUAUAGUUACCCACAUGUUGUAAACUUAUAAUUAUAUUUGUAAAGCUCGUGUGAUAUGGUUAAAGAAGCUAACAUAAUUGUUUUUAUAUUAAGGGCUUGAUCAUAUAUAGUUUCAGAUUUUUUUAUUAUUUUUUUACUUAAUUAUAUAGUUUCAGAUUGAUUAUACAUUAUUUGAUCUUAAUUUGUUAAGACGAUUGCUGUCUGUAAAUGAGUAAAUCUUGAGAUGGGUAUGACCAUGCAGAUCAUCGAAAUAGGUAAAUAACAUUGAAUGCAA